CAAUAGCGUAUAUUAAAGUUGUUGCAGUUAAAAAGCUCGUAGUUGGAUUUCUGCUGAGGACGAUCGGUCCGCCCACUGGGUGAGUAUCUGGCUCGGCCUUGGCAUCUUCUUGGAGAACGUUGCUGCACUUGACUGUGUGGCGCGGUAUCCAGGACUUUUACUUUGAGGAAAUUAGAGUGUUUCAAGCAGGCGCACGCCUUGAGUACAUUAGCAUGGAAUAAUGAGAUAGGACCUUGGUUCUAUUUUGUUGGUUUCUAGAGCUGAGGUAAUGAUUAAUAGGGAUAGUUGGGGGCAUUCGUAUUUAACUGUCAGAGGUGAAAUUCUUGGAUUUGUUAAAGAUGGACUACUGCGAAAGCAUUUGCCAAGGAUGUUUUCAUUGA
rnacentral:rRNA from 1 species